GACGAACGCUGGCGGCGUGCCUAAUACAUGCAAGUUGAGCGCUGAAGGUUGGUACUUGUACCAACUGGAUGAGCAGCGAACGGGUGAGUAACGCGUGGGGAAUCUGCCUUUGAGCGGGGGACAACAUUUGGAAACGAAUGCUAAUACCGCAUAAAAACUUUAAACACAAGUUUUAAGUUUGAAAGAUGCAAUUGCAUCACUCAAAGAUGAUCCCGCGUUGUAUUAGCUAGUUGGUGAGGUAAAGGCUCACCAAGGCGAUGAUACGUAGCCGACCUGAGAGGGUGAUCGGCCAAAUUGGGACUGAGACACGGCCCAAACUCCUACGGGAGGCAGCAGUAGGGAAUCUUCGGCAAUGGACGAAAGUCUGACCGAGCAACGCCGCGUGAGGGAAGAAGGGUGUCGGAUCGUAAAACUCUGUUGGUAGAGAAGAACGUUGGUGAGAGUGGAAAGCUCAUCAAGUGACGGUAACUACCCAGAAAGGGACGGCUAACUACGUG
rnacentral:rRNA from 1 species